rnacentral:lncRNA from 10 species
CAAGACAAACACAUUGGCAGAGGAACACACAAGCACCUGGAUGUGGAGAGGGUGUCGAGAGCACGCUGACAGGUACCGGCAAGCCUGCAGGCCAUCGACCGACCGGCCGAACGACUUGGAGUUUGGUCAGGGCGGUUGGAGGAGAGCCGGGGCUGCUGAGCGGCAGGAAUCCAGGGGAAAACCUUUCCACUCCAUCCCUCAUCUGCUGAAAACUACCUCCACUCAAUAAAACCUUGCACUCAUUCUCUAAGCCCAGGUGUAAUCUGAUUCUUCCAAUACACCAAGGCAAGAACCCGGGAUACAGAAAGCCCUCUGUCCUUACGACAAAGAAGAGGAUCUAAUUGAGCUGGUUAACAUAAGCCGCUUAUAGGCAGCAAAACUAAAAGAGCACAGGGCGCACGCCCACUGGGGCUUCAGGAGCUGUAAACAUCUACCUCUAGAUGCUGCCGUGGGGUUGGAGGCCCAAGCUUGUCCAUCUGUAUGCUCCCCUAGAGGUUUGAAGAAGCGAGCCACUCUCCCUGUUGAACGCCCUGCAAAGAGACCAGGGGAACUUUUCCCGUUUCAAUUCCGUAUCAGUACAUUUUGAACUUCCUUAUUUUUUCAUAUAUUCUGUAAAAUUCCUUUGUAUAAAUGGAUACUUAAUGACUAUUUUUCAAAUAGCCAGAAAACUAGCUCAUUUUGCUAGAUAUCUAAUUGUGUUUAUAAAAUAACAAAUGCUUCAAUGUGUAGUAAUUUUCCUGUUGUAAUUCUCACAAGAGCAAGUAUAUCUGUAGAAUCAAGGCCUAGAAGAGAAACUCUGGAUCCAAAGAAUAAAUACACUAGUAAUUUUGGUAACAUUUACCAAAUAGUUUUCUUUUACUCUGCCACUGGAAGAGUUGUUGUGAAAGACAAACAUUAGAAUUAAAGAUGUUUGCAGCUGGGUGCAGUGGCUCUUACCUGUAAUCCCAGCACUUUGAGAAGCCGAGGCAAGCGAAUCACUUGAGGUCAGGAGUUUGAGACCAUCCCAGCCAACAUGGUGAAACCCUAUCUCUACUAAAAACACAAAAAAUUAGCCUGGCGUGGUGGUGUGCGCAUGUAAUCUCACCUACUCAGGGGGGAUGAGGCAGGAUAAUUGCUUGAACCCGAGAGGCGGAGGUUGCAGUGAGCCAAGAUGGCACAAUUUGCCCUAAACCUACAUGCAGAAGAAUGAAAUUAGACCCUCAUCUCACACCGUAUACAAAAAUCAACUCAAAAUGAGUGAAAAAGCUUAAAUGUAAGACCUGAAGCUGUAAAACUACUAGAAGAAAACAGGGGGAAAGCUCCAUGACAUGGAUCUGAGCAAUGAUUUUUUGGACAUGACUUCAAAAUCACAGGCAAACAAAAGCAAAAAUUAAAACGUAUGAUUAUGUUAAAUCAAAAAGCUUCUGCACAGCCAAGGGAAUAAUAAAGAAACAAUCUAUGGAAUGGGAGAAUAUAUUUGCAAACCAUACAUCUGAUAAGGGGUUAAUGUACAAAAUAUAUAAGGAACUCGAACAACUCAAUGUUAAGAAAACAAGAACCUAAUUAAAAAGUAGGCAAAGAACCUGAAUAGACAUUUCUCAAAAGAAGACAUACAAAUGGACAACAGGUACGUGAAAAAAUGCUCAACAUCACUAAUCAUGAGGGAAAGGCAAAUUAAAACCAUAAUGAAAAACUACCUCACACUUGUUAGAACAGCUGUUAUAAAAAAGACAGAAGAUAACAAGUGUUGGAGAGAAUAUGGAGAAAAGAGAAAUCUUGUACACUCUCUGUGGAAUGAAAAUUAGUACAGCCGUUUCAGAAAACAGUAUGGAGAUUACACAAAAAAUUAAAAAUAGAACUAUCAUAUGAUCUAGCAAUCCCACUAUUGGGUAUACAGUCAAAGGAAAUGAAAUCAGUAUACUGAAGAGAUAUCUGCAUUCUCAUGUUUAUUGCAGCGUUAUUCAAAACUCGUGCAGGAAUGUUCACAGCAGUUUUAUUUGGAAUAGCCAAAACUGAAAACAAUCAUAAUGUCUCUUAAUAGAAAGGAGAUGGAUCAAUAAUUGUACAAGCAUGAAGACAAAUGCCAUAUCACAGCAAUGGUGAAAAGAAAGCCUAGAAGAAAUUUGUCUUCCCAACUUUUUUGGAACCCCUGAAUCAGAUUGACUGCCUCGAAAUAGACUUCUUUUUAAACACACAAAAAAAGUAAUCUCAUUUUUAACAGCCAUAAGAAUAUACCUUGUGGACCAUAAAUACUGUAAAAUUAUUUGACCAGGGCCCCUAGCUGUUCUAUUCCCAAGUGCUUUGUUGUGUUUUUGCUGUGGCUCAGUAUCCCAUGAACUGUUUCCAGCUAAUAACUGAGUGCAUAAGGGAUACUAAGACAGACAAAGUUUCUGGGAGACUAAGGACUCCUCCGACAGCUGAAUUUAGUGUCAGGCCUUCCUUGCUUAACUCAACUUACACUGCAAGGUGGCCUAGGUUGCUUCCAUCCAAACUUCUUCCCUCUAUCCUUGCACUGUGGUCUGAUGAUUCUCUCAGCUGACAUUUUCUCUGACAGGUAUUUCCCCUAAUAACACUUAAUUUUGUCUUGAUGUCUGGUUCUGGGAGGACCCAGCUUAGCACACUAUUUUUAUAAGACACUGCUAAUUUAUGCAGGACAAACUUUUUGCUGGGCAAAGACAAAAAAAU